rnacentral:rRNA from 1 species
GGGAGGCAGCAGUGGGGAAUUUUGGACAAUGGACGCAAGUCUGAUCCAGCCAUUCCGCGUGUGUGAAGAAGGCCUUCGGGUUGUAAAGCACUUUCAGCGAGGAGGAAGAGUUGUGUGUUAAUAGUACACAGCUUUGACGUUACUCGCAGAAGAAGCACCGGCUAACUCUGUGCCAGCAGCCG